rnacentral:rRNA from 1 species
UGGGGAAUAUUGCACAAUGGGGGAAACCCUGAUGCAGCGACGCCGCGUGAACGAAGAAGGUAUUCGUAUCGUAAAGUUCUGUCCUAUGGGUAGAUAAUGACAGUACCAUAGAAGAAAGCUCCGGCUAAAUACGUGCCAGCAGCCGCGGUAAUACGUAUGGAGCGAGCGUUGUCCGGAAUUAUUGGGCGUAAAGGGUACGCAGGCGGUUUAAUAAGUCGAAUGUUAAAGAUCGGGGCUCAACCCCGCAAAGCAUUGGAAACUGAUAAACUUGAGUAGUGGAGAGGAAAGUGGAAUUCCUAGUGUAGUGGUGAAAUACGUAGAUAUUAGGAGGAAUACCAGUAGCGAAGGCGACUUUCUGGACACAAACUGACGCUGAGGUACGAAAGCGUGGGGAGCAAACAGG